AUUGAACGCUGGCGGCAGGCUUAACACAUGCAAGUCGAGCGGGGUGAUGGUGCUUGCACUAUCACUUAGCGGCGGACGGGUGAGUAAUGCUUAGGAAUCUGCCUAUUAGUGGGGGACAACAUCUCGAAAGGGAUGCUAAUACCGCAUACGUCCUACGGGAGAAAGCAGGGGAUCACUUGUGACCUUGUGCUAAUAGAUGAGCCUAAGUCGGAUUAGCUAGUUGGUGGGGUAAAGGCCUACCAAGGCGACGAUCUGUAGCGGGUCUGAGAGGAUGAUCCGCCACACUGGGACAGAGACACGGCCCAGGCUCCUACGGGAGGCAGCAGUGGGGAAUAUUGGACAAUGGGGGGAACCCUGAUCCAGCCAUGCCGCGUGUGUGAAGAAGGCCUUAUGGUUGUAGAGCACUUUAAGCGAGGAGGAGGCUUACCUAGUUAAUACCUGGGAUAAGUGGACGUUACUCGCAGAAUAAGCACCGGCUAACUCUGUGCCAGCCGCCGCCGUAA
rnacentral:rRNA from 1 species